rnacentral:rRNA from 1 species
CCUACGGGUGGCAGCAGUGAGGAAUAUUGGUCAAUGGGCGCGAGCCUGAACCAGCCAAGUAGCGUGAAGGAUGACUGCCCUAUGGGUUGUAAACUUCUUUUAUAUAGGAAUAAAGUGCAGCACGUAUACUGCUUUGCAUGUACCUUAUGAAUAAGGAUCGGCUAACUCCGUGCCAGCAGCCGCGGUAAUACGGAGGAUCCGAGCGUUAUCCGGAUUUAUUGGGUUUAAAGGGAGCGUAGGCGGGUCGUUAAGUCAGUUGUGAAAGUUUGCGGCUCAACCGUAAAAUUGCAGUUGAUACUGGCAGCCUUGAGUACAGUAGAGGUAGGCGGAAUGCGUGGUGUAGCGGUGAAAUGCUUAGAUAUCACGAAGAACUCCGAUUGCGAAGGCAGCCUGCUGGACUGUAACUGACGCUGAUGCACGAAAGUGUGGGUAUCAAACAGGAGUAGAUACCCUUGUAGUC